UUUAAUUGAUUAGAAUAACUCUAUGGAAAAUGGUUGAGCUACAGACAUUUAUUAACUAAGAGGAACAAAUUACAAUGGUGUUAAAUGGACAUUUCAGGAGCCAGACUGACUAGCGCCCCCCCACCCCUGCCCCCCCAAAAUAAAGCCUUUCAUUCCUCUGACCAGCAGUGAUCUUAAGGAGUAUUUCAUUUCUUUCAUAUGCUGAGUAGUGGUUUUCUGAUUGAUGUUCUUUUCUAUGCUACUACAGAUUCUCAUUGAAUUCUCUAUUGUUUCUUCUUCCAGGAUCAUGUGGCAUAUAAGACAGCAGCACUUGCCAUAAGGCAGUGAGCAUAUUUAAUUUGAGCUAUAUCCUAAGCUUCUUUCAAAGAUGAGUCUCAGGAGAGUCUACCUUUGUCUGACAAAUUACCCACAGGACAAGAUAAUUGGUCUAGCAAAUAGAACUGACAGUACAGAGACAGAACAGAGGUAAACUUCAGCUUAUUCCAUUUUCAGACAAUUCUAAUUGCUAUGAAUUUCUUUCUUAUACAGAUUUGAAAUCUGCCUCCUUGUAACUUCAAUCUGUUCUUCCUACUUUUGUCUCCCAGGAUCAAGAAAAGCAAAUCUAAUCUCCUUCAUGACUUUCAGAUCCUUGAAGACAGUUAUCUCUCCCCUCUUUGGCAGGGGCCCCUAGAACAUCUGCACAGUACCCAUAAUACCCACUGAUGUCAGAGUCUGCCAAAGGACUGAGGUCACUCCCCAUGAAGCCCUCAGAAGUAGACAGCUGAAUAAUAUCACAACAAACGAAUCAGAAAUACUCCAAGUUGACUCUGAGUCCAAUGUUUGUUUUUUAUUUAUACCACUGGGAGAACAGAGAGUUUCUCUUCUUGUUGAGGAGACUGUUUAAAGGGUAUAAACCCCCCAAGUAUUUGAGAGAAGUUUCAUUUGAAAAGCUACAUUGAAGAAAAUCAAGGAGGAAAGGGUGAGGUGAAUGAGGAAAGAAGAAAGGAAAGAUGCUGAUGUAGAGAAAAUUUCAGGAAUGGAGAAAAAGAACUCAAUGAAAAUGAACUCAAAAACAUAAUAAAACAAAUGACAAAUAUUUGAGGGGAUGUGGG
rnacentral:lncRNA from 1 species